rfam:Ixodes scapularis strain Wikel colony gcontig_1107728936598, whole genome shotgun sequence.
GCAGUCGUGGCCGAGUGGUUAAGGCGAUGGACUAGAGAUCCAUUGAGGUCUCCCCGCGCCGGUUCGAAUCCUGUCGACUGCG